rnacentral:lncRNA from 1 species
GAGCAGAAUAACGAGCUCAGACUCUUUAGGGGCACAGAUUUACAGCAAAGUCUCUGAUGAAACAUCAAUUUUUAUAAGAAAAGCCCUCAUUUCUGUGACAAAGCCAGCAAAAUGUCAACUCUUUUCAAUUGAUGAAGACUGGAUAACUUACAGGUCAGCACAAAACAAGGAAAACAGUUUUCUUUCAGUCUUGGGACAACAUUCAGUUUUCUCUAAUAAGUUGAGAAACAUCCUUUGAAGUUGAGAAGUGGCCAGACCAACAACUGGAUGGAGGAAAAGCUGCUUUGAUGCUUCAGCUGGUGGAGCAAGUUGAUUUAUCUUCAUUGCAUUAAUAAACAUAAUUUCAUUUAGUGAAUCA